UGUCACGGAACCAAGGUAUUCACUUGGCUCUUUUCUUCCCCAUUGAAAGUGCUUUACAACCCUAAGGCCUUCUAUCACACACGCGGCAUGGCUGCAUCAGGCUUGCGCCCAUUGUGCAAUAUUC
rnacentral:rRNA from 1 species